CUUGAUUCAAGUAAAUUAAAAUAAAAACUCAAUAGAAAAACUUGUGUUGUAUUUGAAGAGAUGGCUAAAGUUUGUUUUGCAACAUUGUUCUUGGUUUAUGUCAUUCUAAUUGCAAUUGUUGGAGUGUUUGUUUUGCAUGGAAGUUGCAGCUGAAGUAUGCAACAAGCGUUCAGAUUGUUAUUAUCAUUGUUAUCCAUUUACUUGGGCUGCUAGGUGCAAAGAUGGAGAAUGUUACUGCAAUUAGGGAUAUGAAAUUUGUAUUCAAAUUUCUUCGAAUCGAUUAUAUGAAACUCUAAAGCACUUAUAUGUGCCAACAAAAUUAAAUUAAGGUUUCAAAGUAUUGGUUAUUAUACAUGCAUGUUCUUGAAUAUAUGUUGAAUAAUAACAGGGAAAAGACAUAAUUUUCCGUA